UUUUUUUUUUCCUUUUAUGGUCACACCUGCAGCAUAUGGAAUUUCCCAGGCCAGGGGUAGAACUGGAGCUGCAGCUGCCGGCCUACGCCACAUCCACAGCCACAGCAGAUUCAAGCCGCAUCUGCAACCCACAGCUUGUAGCAAUGCUGGAUCCUUGACCCACUGAGCGAGGCCAGGGAUCCAACCCACAUCCUCAGGGACACUAUGUUGGUUGCUUAACCCACUGACCAACAACAGGAACUCCAAAAACUUAAAGCAGUACUACUGAUUUAUAAUCUAACUGAUCUGUGAAUGUUCAGAAACCUGACCUGCCAGCAAGUCCAAGUAAAAGACAUGAUCAUCAAAAUUCUAGGUUCAAGUUAAUAACAGACAGGAGGCGUGUAUCUUGGCCAAGACCCACAGCACUGGACAAGGACACUGCCGCACCCUGAAGCAGCUUGGAGAGAUAAACCUCAGACCACGGUGCCGAUGAAGAGAGGAGGAGAGCCAUGGAGAGGAAGGGGCAGGGGACAGCGUUCCACCCAGCCCCCCUCCAUCAUUCAUCCCACCUUUUUCAAAUUGCCCACUGGUGCUGUUCCCCGGCCAGUACAGUCUCCCCAUCCUUCUGCCUAUCAAAAUUCUAAAUGUGGAGUUCCCUUGUGGCUCAGUGGGUUAAGGAUCUGGCAUUGUCACUGCUGCAGCUCUGGUUACUGCAGUGGUACGAUUCAAUCUCUGGCCUAGAAACUUCCGCAUGCCGUGGGUGUGGCCCCCCCCCAAAUUUCUAUAUGUGCUUCCAGGUUCAAAGAGUGCCAACUUUUCCGUGUUUAAACAACUGGAUAACGAACAGAUUCGUAUGUGUUGCUAACUGUCCUAGCUUUUCUCUCAACUCCCAGAACUUUUCCAAUACUGCAGGGAAUCAACGCUUUUUCCACACAAGUGUAGGUUUCCAAACUGCCAAAAUGACUCCCUCCAGUCAGCUUUCUACUGAAUCCACGUGUAGCAGAAGUUAGCCUUAGCUGCAAAGGUCAAGCUAUUCUGUACAAAGGAAUGUUUUUAAAGAAAGGGAAAGGGAGUUCCCGUCAUGGCGCAGUGGUUAACGAAUCCGACUAGGAACCAUGAGGAACUCCCCAUGUUUACUCUUUGAGGAGCCAACAAACUGCUUUCCACAGCAGCAAGGGUUUCUUUUCUUUGUUUCUUAAAUUUCUUUUUUUUUAUUGUGGUAAAAAAACACGCAUCAUAAACUGUGUCAUCAUGACCACUUUUUACGUGUACAGUUCAGCAGUGUUAAGUAUCUUCAUAACCUGCUCAUUUCGCAGAACUGAAACUCUAUAACCGUUAAACAACAACUGUUUUCACCUCUUCCCCCUGGUCUUUAGCAACCCACACUCUACUUUCCUUGUCUGAAUUUGACUACUUUAGGAACCUCAUAUAAGUGGAGUCAUACAGUAUUUGUCCUUUUGAGAUGGCUUGUUUUACUUAGCAUAAUGUUCAUCCAUGCUGUAGGAUGUGACAGGGUUUCCUUUCUAAGACUGCAUGGUAUUUUGUUGUACGUAUGUGGCAUUUCCCCCCCCACCCCUGCAUUUUGUUGAUCUAUUCAUUUAUGAAUGUAUAUUUGGGUCACUUCUACCUCUUGGCUAUGGUAAAUAAUGCUGCCAUGAACAUGGGUGUGCAAAUAACUUGAGACAUUGCUUUCAGUUAUUUUGGAUAUAUACCCAUAAGUGCACAAUCACUUCCAUAAAAAUCUCUGUGGACUCUACACAAUAGCAGUUUUGCUUCUUGUAUCUACAUUCUUCUAGAUCCUUAGUAAAAUCUUCCACCUUCCCUCUAAAGAGCUCCACUUGGGAGCACCUGGACCAGGUGAACUUCCAGGUGUGUCCAGCUCUAAAUCUAGUGAUCUACAAGAAUGUCCUGAGUAUAAUACUGUCCUCAUAACUAGUUCACAUUAAUGAGUAUAUCUCUGCCCCAGAAGAUGUGCACAACCAGGUCAAAGUAAAUAUCCUCCCAGAGAGCUGAGGCUCAACAGAAUAUGCCAAGGACGAGGAAUUUUCUUCUCAACACUGACCUUACUGGUUCACCUUUUUCACCAGCCACAAAACAGGAAGUGAUCAAGCUAAUAAGGUGGAUUCCCAUCCAUGAGGAUGGGGGUUUGGUCCUGGCCUCGCUUGGUGGGGUAAGGAUCCAGUGUUGCUGUGAGUUGUGGUGUAGGUCUCUGAUGCCGCUCAGAUCUGGUGUGGCUGUGGCUGUGGCUGUGGCCGGCAGCUGCAGCUCCCAUUUGACUCUUACCCUGGGAACUUCCACAUGCCUCGGGUGUGGUCAUAAAAAGCAAAACAAACAAACAAACAAAAACAAAACAAACAAACAAAAACUUAACAAGCUCAUUAACUAUGUACCUUAAAAAAGAUCAAAUCUAUGUUAAUUAUCACUGCUUCACUAAGUAUUUUCAGAGUGCUAUGCAUUCUCACACAGAUGAAGUCAACAGAGUUUAUUUCAAUAGACGGUUUAAAAAUUUCAGGCAGAGUAACUGUAACAUAAUAAACUCAAUAAAGGGCUCUUGUUUCUAUAUAGGUAUUCUCCUAUGGAACAUUCUUCUGUGUAAUUAUUAUUACGUAUUGCCUUGUAUAAAAUCCAACUGCUGGAGAGGUGAUUUAAAUUCAGUCCCUAUGUUUACGUAAUAAGAAAACACUCCUGAUAAACAGUGCAACCCUUUGAGGAACAUCAUGAAAAGAAAAGAGUUAUCUGUUCCAAGAGUCUGACUCCAGUGCAGAUGUACAGGGCUGUGUCUGGAGAGGAAAAUUAAUAGCUCCAUUUCCUUUCUUCCCUCUUUCUAUCUGAUAAGAGAUGCUCUCCUGGGAUGGAGAGGGCAGUCUUGGAAGGAGGCUGGAGGCCUGUGGAGGGAGAGGGACCAGGACUGACACGCUCAGAAACUCAUCAACCACACCUGGUUUCUGCAUCCGUUAUGGAACCAGAUGUGCAAAUACUGCCUCCGAGCGGAUUACCAACAGCACCAGGCACUGGAGGGAAGCUGAGCCUUCCACAUGUUCCUUCUCAUUGUCAUGCUGGCAGAGUCCAGCCAGGCUCCUGUGACACACGGACGCCCAUAUACAUCCCUGAUUCUCACCUUGCCAGACCUGGGAGCCAUCGAUACGAAUGGGGAGCUCAGACUUCGAGCCCCUGACAAGGCCGUGACCCCAGACUCCCAGGACCCCAAGGAGCCUGCAUCGCACCCUCCCACCCAAGCUGCUCUGCGUUCACUGGGCAAUUCUGGGAAAAACUCAAAAUGUGCAGAAUUGCACUCCUAUUGAUCAUCCUAAAAUACAUGUAGCUAUGGGUUUUGGAAGACAUGCUCAAUCUGUGCUACAUGCAACAAGCGUAUCUCUGCUCCAGAGGACAUACCCAACCAGAUCCAAGGAAAUAUCCUCCCCGGGAUAUGGAGCCACCACCAAAACCUGUUGGGGAAGGCUACAGCGCCACGGGGAAUAUGGGAUGAACAUGCGAAUCUACUCUGUUUACAUUUAUCUCUUAUCUACAAAACCCACAACAGAACGGACCAGGCUUUACCAUUUACUACGUGGACUGUUUUGCCUGUGUGCAGGCAGACUGGCCAUCACCCAGCUUCAUGGUCCUUAGAGCUCUGGAGGAGAGAGCAGGUCACCACCCACAGGUCCCUAUGCCCCUUCCUUUGCUUCCUGCGUCCUGCAACAUGCAUAUGAUACUGUCUGGUUAAUGGGAUAAUGAAGUAAAUUCUCUAGUUUUACCUUUGAUAGAUCCCAAGCACCUCCAACUGUACUCAAAUGUAUAAUGCAUGAAUUUAAACUAUCUUUGAUGAAACGGACACAUGGCUUAAAAGAUUCCUGCAAAAAAAAAAAAAAAAAAAACCCUCCAGAGGCUGAAGUUAACACCAAUACAAGCACAAGUGAACAAUAAUAAAAGAAAAGAGCUCACACUUCUUUCCUGGUAUAAGUACUUCUUGAAUAAUAUUACAAAUAAUACCAAAUAUCUAAUCAGAUUUGACAGGAAGCGGCCCUUUGCCACAAACCUGAAAUCUCUAGGGAGAACAUUAGAAAUUUAGAUUUACAUCCCAAAUCAUUAAUGAGAAACAUUACCUCAAGGGUAUUCGGACCUUGGGAUAUUAGCUAAUGAUAAUAAAAAGUCCCAGUGAUUAGCAAGACAUUUAAAAUAUUGCUUAUUUCACCUUUAUCAGAUACAUUAAUAUCCAUUUUGUAUAUAUUUUACAAUUUACACAAUGGUAGCAAAAUAUGCACAGGUAUACAAGUAUCUAGGGUGCAGGCAAAAAGUAAUUUUUAAAUGGAUGGGGUGCAUGAUCAAAGUUUGGUGUCACAGCCCUGGUACAGAGCAUCCACCUGGAUGGAAGGCAGACUGCUGCAGUGCUCAGCCUGGGCAACAGUCAAGUGCUGGGCAACAGAAGCAAGAGUCAUUUACAUGUAGGCCUCACAGUUAAUAAAUUAUUGUGCUGCUAUUGCUAUUGGGAUGUCACUGGAAGGUUCUGAUUCACUUCCUACAAGACCUGAGUCUUCCUUCCAUGAUGGACUGAAUUUUGUCCCCCACCCCCCCUAUGUCCCAUAUUGAAGUUCUAAGCCCAGGUGCCUCAGAAUGUGGCCUUAUUUGGAAAUAGAGUUGUUGUAGCUAUAUACUUAGUUAAGAUGAGGUCAUUAGGCUGAGCUCUAAUCCGACCUGAUUGGCAUUCUUAGGAAAAGGGGAACCUGGACUCAUAUACACACCCAGCGAGAAUGCCAUGUGAACACCAGAGCUACACUGCCACCAGCCAAGGAACUAUGAGAUGCUGAGAGAAGGCCUGGAACAGAUUCUUCCCUUCUGCUUUCAGAGAGGGCAAGGGCCUGCUGACUCCCUGAUCUCAAACUGAUGGCUCCCAGAACUGUGAGACAGUACUUUUCUGUUGUUUAAAUAGUGUGGCACUCUAUUAUGGAAGCCCUAUGAAGUGAACUCACUGUUUCUUGGAGCGGAGGCAGCCAGUCUGGUGGGAAGUUACCACUAUAACCUGGGUGGAAAUAGAGCCUUUGCAGAGUGAUAAGCACGGUGCUACCUUUAGGACCAAAUGCAGACUCUAUAAAUGCAGAAAGACAGUCCCCUUCCUCUGCAGGCUCCCCCACCUACGCACUGACUCAGUGCCUAUGGGGACUCGGGGACCUGCACCAGUUCCACCCAAGUGGCCCUAGGGCAAAAUGAUGACUUUCACCACACCCUUGCUGGCAAACACAUUGUAACACUUCAUCAACACCCCAUGUUGCCUACCGACUUAGGACAUUGAUCUUUGAGCCUCAAACUUGCGUGGAUCGUGAGAGUGCUGAAAAGCAAUCAGAAUGUGCCCAUUUUACCUACCGAAGCAGAAAGGACCAUUUGUCAUUUCAUGCUGCCAUGAAAUCAUGCCUCAGAUGCUUUUGAUUCUGAGAUCUUGCUGUACCUUCAAGAAGGCUUUUCCUUAGCAGAGGCAUCUCGGUCACAAGCAGGUGACAACCAGUUAUGCCCAUC
rnacentral:lncRNA from 1 species